CUUUAGAAUUUUUUUUCCAAAAAAAAAAAAAGUUAACUUGAUUAUCUUAACACUCAUUGGAAUCAAUUUGUAUGUUAAUGUUUUUAUUUGUUAAUUUAGUUCGUCUGAUUGUGUUUUCCCAUCGAAUUGAUUAUCAUCAGGAGAAAAAGAAAAUAGAAUAUACAAUUUAUUCUAAGUUACCCUUUUUUCUUCAAUUCUAAUCAUAAGUCAUCAUCAACAGUCAACAUUAACUGUUCAUCAUUUGGAAUCUUUUGUUACCGUUUAUUUGAUGUUCUUUACAACAUUGUGAUUAUCUUAUUGAGAAAUUGGAUGAGAGAGAGAGAGAGAGAGAGAGAGAGAGAGAGAACAUUAUUGAUAAAAUUGUUACUUUUCAUCGACUAAAUUAAGUCUCGUUGCAAAUUGUAAUUUAUUCUUAUGAGAGAAAAGAAAACAGUAAUCAUCAUCUUUUCAAGG